UAGGGUGAACCUGCGGAGGGAUCAUUACCGAGUUUACAACUCCCAAACCCCUGUGAACAUACCUAUACGUUGCCUCGGCGGAUCAGCCCGCGCCCCGUAAAAAGGGACGGCCCGCCCGAGGACCCCUAAACUCUGUUUUUAGUGGAACUUCUGAGUAAAACAAACAAAUAAAUCAAAACUUUCAACAACGGAUCUCUUGGUUCUGGCAUCGAUGAAGAACGCAGCAAAAUGCGAUAAGUAAUGUGAAUUGCAGAAUUCAGUGAAUCAUCGAAUCUUUGAACGCACAUUGCGCCCGCCAGUAUUCUGGCGGGCAUGCCUGUUCGAGCGUCAUUUCAACCCUCAAGCUCAGCUUGGUGUUGGGACUCGCGGUAACCCGCGUUCCCCAAAUCGAUUGGCGGUCACGUCGAGCUUCCAUAGCGUAGUAAUCAUACACCUCGUUACUGGUAAUCGUCGCGGCCACGCCGUAAAACCCCAACUUCUGAAUGUUGACCUCGGAUCAGGUAGGAAUACCCGCUGAACUUAAGCAUAUCAAUAAGCGGAGGAA
rnacentral:rRNA from 1 species